UGAGACUUCAAUUCGUGCUUUCGUCACUAGUUAGUGUGUUCAAGGUAAACAAAGAGAAAAGUCGAUAUGAGCGACAAAAAUAUGGUUUAUUCAGCAAUUUUUUGUGACCCGUCCGUCAAGUGUCAUGCGGGGAUUGCGGCCCAGAGGAUUUGGGACAAUAAAGCCAUUAUAAAGAUUUUUGGCGCGAUUACUGUGGGGAUACUGAGGGCUGCGAGGUCACCGUGGAGUGACGAAGGCGCGGGCAGUCUCCACACUCGGCUUGACGUGAUUAACCUCCCGCCCCCCGCGCGCUGUCACCGGCCACCGCCGGCGCCCGUCCCCGGGGCGCGAAUCCAAUUUACCAACUUGUACCCCGUUAUUGUGUCCGCUACUGUUUGCGUUCCCAUAAGGAAACUUUUCUGUAUAAUAAAUAUAAUGCGGUCAGCA